rnacentral:rRNA from 1 species
UACGUAGGCAGCGAGCGUUGUUCGGAAUUACUGGGCGUAAAGAGUAUGUAGGCGGUUGCGUAAGUUCGGUGUGAAAUCUCCCGGCUUAACUGGGAGGGUGCGCCGAAAACUGCGUGGCUCGAGUGCGGGAGAGGAGAGCGGAAUUCCUGGUGUAGCGGUGAAAUGCGUAGAUAUCAGGAGGAACACCGGCGGUGUAGACGGCUCUCUGGACCGUUACUGACGCUGAGAUACGAAAGCGUGGGUAGCAAACAGG